UUUGGAACCGUUCGAAAAUAUCCAUGUUUCCUACUUUUCAUUUGGCCUUGUAUUUUUUGAGAUGAUUCUCAUUCUGUGGCAACAUUUGCUGCUUUCCUGUCUGAAAUAUUUAUUUAAUUAAGAAUUGAGUGGUUAAAUAGAAAUAAAAUUAAAAAGUACAAUUGUUUGUCAAAAUGGAUCGUUUGCCGUAUUGAUUUUUGAUUUGGAAUUUCGACUUGCGUAUCUACUUCAAGCAUUAUGGGCACUAAUUUCACUUAUUGGACGGUGUAGAAGACACCGUCAAGUGGUUUUGCUUUUGAGUAUGGAAGAACUAGUGCCCUUCUUACUUGUGUCUGCCAACGUUGGAUCGAUCUUUGAAGAUCCCGAAAAUCUUUUGGAAAUAUGGCUAAAGGAAUUUUUAAUGGUUAUCAAGCGCCUAGAGCCAAAGUUCUUGGCUCUUCACUGUCAAGAAGUUGGUGGUAAAGAUUACAAAGACUCAUCUAAAAAUGUUCAAGAAUUUAUUCGGGCCCUUAUGAUGAGUGAAGAGUUGAGCAGUUUUGGUAAAAUGAAAGUAUAUUUGGAUGAAGAUUUCAAUUGUCGAGAGAAAUUUACAGCUCUUGGCAGUCUCUAUUUUGUUCACAAUAGCUUGAAAGAUGUACAGAUUUGGGAUUUUCGAGAUCAUAAAUAUGUACCAGUCGUUGGAAAGGAGAUAUAUAAUGGAAAUAUUGAACACAUAGGAACAAAAGAAAAAGUAAAAUUUACUGCAGAAAUAGUUCCUGAAUUUUUAUUGCAGUGUAAAUGGUCGAGGAAAGGCUUCAUGAGAACGAGAUGGAGAAUCGGUUAUACAGCUUUUGAUCUAGUCAAUAUUCAUCUUUUUCAUGAUGAGUCUAAUUUUGUUGCUAUGGAAGAGUGCCCCUCAAAGUACAGUAAAACCAGACAAAGUGCUUUAGGAUAUGCUUUGCAUAGGUUUUCUGUUGACUCUCUUGAAAAAGUGCCAUUUUUCAUAUUUGGUGAUUUCAAUUUUCGUCUCGAUACCAAAGGCAUAGUUCAGAAACUCACCAAAAAAACAGUACCUGUGUAUAUUAAAAGUGCCAAAAAUGGAGAAAUUGAAAAAAUUUUGUACAAAGAAACUGGAGAAGGAGAAAAAGUUGUUUUAACUUUAGAACGAAAAGUAUUUGAUCUCAAUGAGCAAGAAGAAACAUUUUCUGCUAAAGAAAAAUGGUUACAGGAGUAUGAUAGAGAGCCCAAAGUAUUUGAAGAGCAAUUGUUUGAAUUUGACAUUUCAUUCCCUCCAAGCUACCCUUUCACAGAAGAUUUGUGUGGUAAAACUUACAUGAAAACAAGAUGUCCUUCUUGGUGUGACAGAAUAUUUCUGAGCAGAAGUGCUUUGUCCCUUGUUCAUAUGUCAUCUCAUAGCACUGGUUAUUCACCUUUCUUUUAUCAACUUAUUGGAGAAGAUGUUGCUAUGGGAGAUCAUAAGCCUGUGAUGUUGUUUUGUAGUCUUCGAUGUUGUACAGGUAAAGUGAAUGCGAAGGAUAUCCUUGGACCCUAGUGCCGAGGACCCUAGAUUUCAUUAUAGUACAGAACUGUUUGAAAACGAAUACAAAACUGCUUGACCUGGCUCCAUGAUGGAGUUGAAAACCCCGAUCCACCCAGUGUGUUUGCCUACUGAAUAUUCUUCAAGUGAAGAAAUGUUUCUUUGAAUACCAUUACUGAAUUGAAUGUUGACACUGGGGGAUAGAGGGCGUAUUAUUUACCAUCAUGAUGCUCAGUGAUAACAUUGCUCAAGAUUUUUGUUCAGUAGAUUAUUUUAUGUUUUUUUUUUCACCUAUAGAUAUUUCAUUUUUUUCUCCUUAUUUUCUUUUCAUUGUACAAUAACCAUUUUCGAAAUAGAUUUGUUAUUUAUUUAGAUGUACUUUAAUUUUGUGUUAUGCUUAUUUUAAUAGUUAUACUUUGAUUUAUAUAUUUUAUUAGAGAUAUGUUUAUUAAUAUCAAGACUUUUAUUUUUGCUGGAAUUGCAUGAAAAUUAUUUUAAUUAGGAGUUUUUUUGCAGUUGUAAGCAUGUAUUAGUUUACACUUAUAAGUAGUUGCUGUGCAAUGUUAUAUAAUUAUGCUCCUCAGUCUCAGGAAUCGCUUACAAAGCUUAAUUGUUAUAAGGAUUUCCUUAUUAUUUAUUUAAUCUUAAUUUUUUUUUUUUAUCUUAAAGAAUGUUCCCUGUCUAUGUGAAGGUGAUAUAAAAGAAAAAAUGCUUAGAUAUUAUACUCUGACUCUUAAUUUGUGAGGCAGAGUAUGAUAUUGUUGAACAUUAAGAAUGAAUCAUUUUUGCAUUUAUUUAAGAAGGAAAAAUACUUGGAAUCAACUCAUAUUGUUCAUGUUAAGAAGAUUAGACUAUGCAAAUAUUAUUAAUAUCGUAGAAAUAAUAUUGUUUGUGAUCUUAGCAUUUUUAUAUCUUCAGUGGUGUGAAAAUUAUUAUUUUGAUGCCUAAAACAAUAAAUAUGAACUACAUAAUAAUCCAGUACAUAAAUAUUAAGUAUUUAAAGUCUAGAUUGUAGGGUUCCUAAGCUAUAACUUACUAUCUAUUCUUCCAUAUUGUCUUUAUAAAUUACGUAUGUCUCAAGUCAUUAAUCACCGUACCCUUACCAGUCAACAGAAAUACAGUAGGGAACCGAUUAUCCGGAACGAUCGGGACCAUC
rnacentral:misc_RNA from 1 species